AACGAACGCUGGCGGCAUGCCUAACACAUGCAAGUCGAACGAGACCUUCGGGUCUAGUGGCGCACGGGUGCGUAACACGUGGGAAUCUGCCCUUCGGUUCGAAAUAACAGAGAGAAAUUUCUGCUAAUACCGGAUGAUGACGUAAGUCCAAAGAUUUAUCGCCGAAGGAUGAGCCCGCGUAGGAUUAGGUAGUUGGUGGGGUAAUGGCCCACCAAGCCGACGAUCCUUAGCUGGUCUGAGAGGAUGAUCAGCCACACUGGGACUGAGACACGGCCCAGACCCCUACGGGAGGCAGCAGUGGGGAAUAUUGGACAAUGGGCGAAAGCCUGAUCCAGCAAUGCCGCGUGAGUGAUGAAGGCCUUAGGGUUGUAAAGCUCUUUUACCAGGGAUGAUAAUGACAGUACCUGGAGAAUAAGCUCCGGCUAACUCCGUGCCAGCAGCCGCCGUAA
rnacentral:rRNA from 1 species